rnacentral:tRNA from 1 species
GGCCCUAUCGUCUAAUGGCUAGGACGUCGCCCUCUCACGGCGGCAACAGGGGUUCGACUCCCCUUAGGGUCA